ACCGGUUUUCGUACGAUCACCGAAGUUAAGUAACGUCGAGCUUGGUCAAUACCCAGACGGGUGACCGCUUGGGAAUACUAUGUACUGUAAG